CUCACCGGGGGCGACAGCAGGAUGACGGCCGGGCUAAAGACCCUGCUUGACGAGCUGAGAGGUGGUGCAUGGCCGCCGUCAGCUCGUACCGUGAGGCGUCCUCUUAAGUGAGGUAACGAGCGAGACCCCUGCCCCUAGUUGCCAGCAACCCUCCUCGGAGGGUUGGGGACACUAGGGGGACCGCCGCUGAUAAAGCGGAGGAAGGAGGGGGCGACGAUAGGUCCGUAUGCCCCGAAUCUCCCGGGCUACACGCGGAAUACAAUGGCUAGGACAAUGGGUUCCGACCCCGAGAGGGGAAGGCAAUCCCCUAAACCUAGCCGUGGUUCGGAUCGCGGGUUGUAACUCACCCGCGUGAAGAUGGAAUCCCUAGUAAUCGCGUGUCACUAUCGCGCGGUGAAUACGUCCCCGCUCCUUGCACACACCGCCCGUCAAGCCACCCGAGUGGGGCCUAGGUGAGGUCCCGUCCUUGGGCGGGAUCGAAUCUGGGCUCUGCAAGGGGGGUUAAGUCGUAACAAGGUAGCCGCAGGG
rnacentral:rRNA from 1 species